GGUUUAAUUCGAUGCAACGCGAAUAACCUUACCUGGCCUUGACAUCCACGGAACCCUGCAGAGAUGCGGGGGUGCCUUCGGGAACCGUGAGACAGGUGCUGCAUGGCUGUCGUCAGCUCGUGUCGUGAGAUGUUGGGUUAAGUCCCGCAACGAGCGCAACCCUUGUCCCUAGUUGCCAGCAUUCAGUUGGGCACUCCAGGGAGACCGCCGGUGACAAACCGGAC
rnacentral:rRNA from 1 species